UUUUUCUCCACGAGCUAGCAUUACUAAUACUAAUGUGGAAUAAAUUACAAAAGUGUUAAUCAACAUUGAUUUGUUCCAAUGAUGGGAAACUGCUAGAAGUACCGUCGAAGCAGCAAAUGAACACCUGGAGCACCUGCUGCUGUUUCCUCCACACACUGUAUACAACAGUGCAGCACUGAUGGAUGCACAACAAGUUUAAGGACCAUGGGCUAUGUUCGUGAAGGU